rnacentral:piRNA from 1 species
UCCCUAAGAGCUGGACCUAUUGUCUGGGA